rnacentral:rRNA from 1 species
ACUUAAGCAUAUCAAUAGCGGAGGAAAAGAACCAACAGGGAUUGCCUUAGUAGCGGCGAGUGAAGCGGCAAAAGCUCAAAUUUGAAAUCUGGCACUUUCAGUGUCCGAGUUGUAAUUUGAAGAAGGUAUCUUUGGGUCUGGCUCUUGUCUAUGUUUCUUGGAACAGAACGUCACAGAGGGUGAGAAUCCCGUGCGAUGAGAUGACCCAGACCUAUGUAAAGUUCCUUCGAAGAGUCGAGUUGUUUGGGAAUGCAGCUCUAAGUGGGUGGUAAAUUCCAUCUAAAGCUAAAUAUUGGCGAGAGACCGAUAGCGAACAAGUACAGUGAUGGAAAGAUGAAAAGAACUUUGAAAAGAGAGUGAAAAAGUACGUGAAAUUGUUGAAAGGGAAGGGCUUGAGAUCAGACUUGGUAUUUUGUAUGUUACUCUCUCGGGGGUGGCCUCUACAGUUUACCGGGCCAGCAUCAGUUUGGGCGGUAGGACAAUUGCAAAGAAAUGUGGCACUGCCUCGGUAGUGUGUUAUAGUCUUUGUCGAUACUGCCAGCCUAGACUGAGGACUGCGGCUUCGGCCUAGGAUGUUGGCAUAAUGAUC